CUUCCCUUCGGUCCAUGGAGACUGGAGGGGAACAUCAAUGAAUUGGCUGGAAUACCCAGACCUAGCCACAUAUCGAGAAAGGAGUUUAGGAUAUCAUUUGCCUUGUGAUGUUUGGCAGUCAUUGUUUUUACUUUAAAAGUUGUAUUUAAAGCUAUUGGGAUUGUUGCCGGGAGAAUCACUAGAUUUAUGGAGGAGUUAGCCACAAGUGACUUGUAGAAAAUACUGUCGUAUAGUCAUUUUACCAUUCUCUGUUGCAGCAAGCCACUCCACCACAGAGUGCUAAUGCCAUUGGCACCCAGCACCUCUUGUAUAUAGUUAUUGCAAAUACUGUUCUGAAAUGCAUAACUUCAAAAUUACCUUUUUUAAAGUAAAUAAUUGUUUGAAAUCUAUUUUGUAAAGAUAAAACGUACAAUAGAAUUUCUGGAGUACAGAUUAAACUAUUUGCACUAACACACGUGAUGUGCAUGAUUUAAUAAAAUAACUUUAAUCUCCAAAAAAAAAAAAAACAAUUUC
rnacentral:lncRNA from 1 species